rnacentral:rRNA from 1 species
UACGUAGGUGGCAAGCGUUGUCCGGAUUUAUUGGGUUUAAAGGGUGCGUAGGCGGUCUUAUAAGUCAGUGCUGAAAUAUCCCGGCUUAACCGGGAGGGUGGCAUUGAUACUGUAGGACUUGAGUGAAGUCGAGGUAGGCGGAAUUGACGGUGUAGCGGUGAAAUGCUUAGAUAUCGUCAAGAACACCAAUAGUGAAGACAGUUUACUAGACUUCAACUGACGCUGAGGCACGAAAGUGUGGGGAGCAAACAGG